GUAGACUUUUGCCCACACUUAUCUAUAAGGAAUUUAUAUAAAAUAUCCUAAUUAAUAGAUACAAUUGCCUUCCUAGGACUCUAUCCAUGCGUGGCAAUCAUCUUGAAGUACAUUAACGUGAACCCGAUGUCGCGUUCAAGCCGUAUUGUCGGAAUCGGCUGUAUCGGCUUAUUUAUCUCGACUCAGACCCAGCCGAUCUUAACCAUAGCCGAUCUGGACUCCAGCCGAUUCCUGCUCAGCCGAUUCCUGCUCUGUUUCCGAACUCGAUCUCCGCCUCCGACUCCGCUUUGAUCAAAUCCUCUUUCCUGACACAGAUGCUACCAAAUUUGGUUGUUAACACAUGCCCCCCAAGUCCGGGAUAUUCAAUAAUGUUUCGGAUUUGCCAUAUGCCGACUCCGAGCAAGUUUCACACUCUGCCGCUUUCGACCGUUAUUCCAGCGCUUUAAAUACUAACCGUUACCCCCGAGAAAUCUCACGCCGUGACUUCCGUUUUCACCGCUCAAGAGAAACCUUUUCUCUCUCUUCUCCAGCGAUUCCUCCGGCACAAAGGCGAUUCCUAGGCGAUUUCCUUCCGACGAGAUCUCCACCCGCACCAAUGUCAUCUUCCGCCAGCCCACCUGGUGCACCAUCGGCCGAAUACGCUGAGGUAAGUUCUCAUCGGCUAAAUCCCCUUCUUUAGCAGCAAAUCGAUCUUCUCCAAUCUGAUACCACUCUCUCCCUCUGAAUUGCUUUGGAUUUGUAGCACCUUUCCAACCUAGUUGCGAUUCCCAGCCUGUCGCAUGAAAAUCACUACUUUCUUGGCCCAGUCGGCAAUCCAGACCUCACCAAGUUCAUUAUUGGUGAAACCAAUAGGAUUCCCUUUAGAUUAACUAACCCAGAUCUAGGUCACUGGAAGAAUACCUUCAAAUCCUGGCUGUCUCUAGAGAAAGUUCCACCAGAAAAGAGCUGGACCACAUGGUUCAAACGUGUAUCAGCCAGCAAAAGGGUUCACUGGGAUGAAAUUGGAAUCGGCCAAGCACUUGAGCUUACUAUAGCGAACUCAGCCAAAGAUGAACCCCUGAUGGCAGCUGCUUCUUACUUUUGGUCAAACACUACUAAUGCCUUUCUGUUCAAUCAAGGGCCGAUGACUCCAACCCUCAUAGAUAUCAGUAUGAUCACAGGUCUGGAUGUCACCUCAUCGGCCAACCCUAUGAGUUUGAACACAAAGAACCAAUAUGACUUCAAAACCAAAAGCAUAGGGGGUUGGUCAGGCUAUGUGGCAGCAUACAUGGGCCAGGGCUCGGUCACCCCUCGAGAACAUGUGGCCUUUCUAUUAAUGUGGCUAGAAAAAUUUCUUUUCUGUGGAUCAAGUUGCGGCCCCACAACCAACUGGCAAUUUCUGGCUGAAGCUCUAGAAACAAAGAGACAAUUCCCCUUGGGCAAAAUUUUCCUCGGCUAUCUAUACCAGAUGUUGAGCAAUGCAUCGGCUAAGAUAGCAGUCGGCUCAGUAGUUGGAGCAGGUGGACCCUGGUGGCUGCUACAAACCUAGUUAAACCUGAUAGUCAUGAAGGUUGUCAAUCGGCCAUCCGUAUCAGAAGCUGAGUUCCCAAGACUAGAGCCAAUUGUAGAUGAUGAUGGAGAAGAGCGUACUCAUCGGAGAUGCACAUCAUACGGAGAAUACGCUUCUACACCAACUGACGCCGGAGCAAAACUAUCGGCUGAACUGCUCAAGGAUUGGUUUUGAAGCUUCUAUGAAGGCUUUCAAAAAGAUGCUAGAAUCUGGUUCCUUUAUGAAGACUCUGCACAACUUGAGCACCCAGUGGACUUCAGAUUUGAAGACAUCAACCAUAAAGUAUACCAAUCAUCCAGGGAAAUCUUCUCAGCUGCAAUCAGCUCAUGUAUCCUUCCUAUUGGCAUUCAUCAAGGAAGAAACAUCCAAGCUUCUUAUGAAUUCUAUCAUCCAAUAAGCUCAGCAAGACAACUCGGAAUGGGCCAACUCCCAAUCAGCUUAUUCUUUGCUAACAAGAUCCAAUGCCGAGGAGGGAUUUCAUCAACCCUGAUGAUGGAUCGGCUGCUUGGCCUUCAAGGACCCCCUCUGGGCAGUAUUGACAACAUAGAACUGGCAACAUUCAGAAGCAAAAGCUUUGACAGGUGGUGGGGUGAAUGGAAACUGCAUUUAAUCCACCAACCAGCUUCAAUGUACAUGACAGACCUCUUUCCAGAUGUUGUCCCUCAAACAACAGAAUCUUCCCCUCCUCAUCAAAGCAAUAGUGGCAAAGACAUCCAAUAUGCCCCAGGUUUAAUUCCUAACGGAGGUGUGUUAUCUCCUCCAGUUAUAGGCUAUGAUGCCCCCAAGACCUCAGCUCUUCUUCAAGGGCUCGUCAGAGAACCAGCCGAUGCCGGCAAAAAGAGGAAAACCAGAUCGUCGGCUGUAAGCAUCGUAGCCCCAAUUAAGAAGAAGAAGACAAAGAAAACCAAGCCGGCCGAUGAUCUGCCUGCCCUAGAUCCAUCCAUCGAACAAGCUCUGGAUGAAGAGGUAAUUGAAGACGAGGUUGAUCAGGCCGCAGCCGAAGUAAGUGAUACUGAAAGAACACCAUCGGCUUCACCUAAGCAAACCUCUCCAACUCCUUCUGCUCCGGUUCACUUCUCCAGGGUAAGUGUUUCUUAUUAAUCCCUUUCGUGAUUAUUUUGUCUUAUAGCCGAUCACUCCCAAGUCUUAUAAUUGUAGAAAAAGAAGACUGCAGUAAAGAAGAAAUCGGCUGUAACAACAUCUAAACCAGCUCCACCACCUUCACCUCCUCCUUCUCCUUCUGUUCAACAAUCAUCAAGUGAUCAGACCCCUUCAGCUGCGGGAAGUCAUCACGUCGAGGAAGAAGAACAACCAGUUGCUCCUGCUAUCCCAGUAUUAGCCGAUCUUUUCUCUUUUGACAUCAGAGACUACCUUGAUGAAGGAGAAGAAGAUACCACAAGCAAAGCCUUGGCUCCUUUAUCUGAUGAUGUGAAGAUAACUCUAGGAAGCAUUUUAGAUCGGCUAGAGGCAUCAUCGCUAGACAGCUUGGUGGUUAACUGUGGCUCAAUCAGGGCUCGGCUACAUGAGAUUCAACCUUUAAUCCCAGAUGAGUUAGCCGAUAUCCUUACUCUAGCCGUUUACCUUGAGCAACACCAAUUCAAACUGGAGAAAGCCAAGUUAAGACUAGCCGAACGGCGAGAACGUAAGGACAUUGAGGCCACUAUCCAAGCCAACCGAUAACUUGUGCAUGAAGAGAAGUCCAAGCUUGAUCAAUUAUCUGAAGGUCCAAUCAAGUCUAACAUUGAUCGGCUUGAGGCUCGCAAGAUUGACCUCUUAGCACAACUUGAAGAAUGUAACGCUGAGCUGGAUAUGGAACAUAAGAAACUAGCCGAUCUCCCCAAGUCUAUUGAAGAACAGAAAGCAAGACUCAAAUCGUCUAUUAAGCAUGUUGCUGAACUGACCAAGUCCCUGAAAGUUAUCCCUGGAACCGAUGCUCAAGAUGCCCAGGCCAUAGAGGAAGUAUAGCAGAUUAGGCAGAAGGCUAUAUCGGCUAUCCAGCAAUACGUAUCGCAAUAAUCUUUAUGUAAUAGGACUCAAAAAAUUUUUUAAUCGGCUGAGACAUUCUGAUACUCUACUGUCUUAACAAUCCUUUGUGCCGAUUAAUA